UACGAAGGGUGCAAACGUUGCUCGGAAUCAUUGGGCGUAAAGCGCACGUAGGCGGCUUCGCAAGUCGGAUGUGAAAUCCCUCGGCUCAACCAAGGACGUGCAUCCGAAACUGCAAAGCUUGAGUACAGAAGAGGAUCGCGGAAUUCCAGGUGUAGCGGUGAAAUGCGUAGAUAUCUGGAGGAACACCGGUGGCGAAGGCGGCGUUCUGGACUGUAACUGACACUGAGGAACGAAAGCCAGGGGAGCAAACGGG
rnacentral:rRNA from 1 species